GGCAAAAUAAGAUAAGAUUGGCAUAAAAAAAGGAGACUUAAAGCUAUAGAUACUGUAAAAUCUUGAUAACAAAUUAAGGCCAUAAUCAAAGGCCAAAGCCAUAUUAAAUAAUUUGCCUAUUCCCUUUCGCAGAAUCUUCAAUGAGAGAACCUGCUACCCCAAAAUAAUUAUUAUAAGUUGGUGUAAGAUUGCCUUCGAAUCAAUAAGAGGAAUAAGCAAAUCGCGCGAGUAGAAUGCAUUAAAUUAUCAAAUUAGUCAUUGAUUGAUCAUCUGUACUGCUUGUUAGACGUGGAAGCUGUAAUGGAUGAAUACAAGAUUGGGAAUUAGAUUGCAGUUGAGCUCAAGCAAUGAAGAAGCCUUCUGCUUGCCCCUAGUUGUGCCAUUCUCUGCAAGUACUGAAGUGGAUCCUUGACCCCAAGCAAAAUGGUCUCUGACAGAUGCUCAGGAUCUCCGGAACAGAGAUUCAGAAGCACUGCAGCUACAUUCCGUCUACUCAAGGCCCAAGGGGAUCCCUUCAUAACUAACUCCACCAAAGUUGGCAAAGUAUCCGAAACACCAAUUAUUAUCCUUUUAUCUGGAUGGCUACCUAAUAUUGCAAUGAUUGCCAAUGCCUCAUCCACUAUUUCACUACCAGGUUCUGUUAGCAUUGUCACCAGCAAGGACACUGCUCUAGGUGUCACUGCUCAUCCCUUAUUACCUAAUUGAAAAGAGCUGUUGCAGCAUCAACCUUCCCCUUGAGCCUACCUUCGCUCAACAGUGCUACCAGAGCUGGGAUUGCUCCCGAUGCACCAAUUGUCACUUCAUAGUCAGCUGCUGAAGAAAUGCUGAAAUAGUUGACGCUGCAUUCUCUCUUCCAUAUUCCCAUUUUUUAGCACAUGAAGGACCCCAAAAGAAACAAUAACUCCUUUGUUGACCUCAAGAAUAGAAAUAUUCAAAAAAGCAGUGACAGCAAGCUCCUAGGUGACAACGUAAUUUGCAUAGAUAAGUUCAGUAAGGAAGGGAAUUGCAUCAGGCCAUCAGCUACAGCAAUACACACUAUUUUCACUGUUAUGCUUAGAGAGUCAAUAGAACUCACACGCAAGGAGUCAAAAAAGCGAGAUUUAUUCACAUAAUAGUAAAUUCAAAAGUUCACCAUGGCUUUUCUUCAAAGCCAAAAAAAAACACUAACAGAAUAGGAUUAGAAAUUCUGGAAGACAUAGGUGUACAUUUUUGCUAAACGUUAGUAACGCAACAAAUAAGUUUAGAAACACCACAUACAGAAAUAUUUUCUAGGAAUUUUCAGGUGCAUCACAGGGAAAUUGGAAAAUAUUUUGGAACCAAACUAACCUACAGUAGAUCGUUGAUCCUCUAUGUUACUGGAAAUGGGCUGGCUGAAAAGAGUGUCAAGUUCCACACCUUCAGCAAAACGGGCAGAAAUGUCUCAUAGGUGUAAAUUGACAAAUUUUUAGGGGGUUCCAGUUUAUUGGCCUCACCUAAAUUGGAAAUUAGACUGCUUAAGGCAUGGUUUGGAAUAAGAACUGUGGUAAAAGGACCUGUUGUGUCUCUUAGGACACGUUCCAUGUCCCCUAUCAAGCCAUUUCUUAAUGCAAGCUCAGUCAUAGGUCUCUAAAAUGAAAGAAGACUAGUAAGGAAUGCAGCAGCAAGUAAAGACACUCUUUCAAACCAGUUCCAUUUCCUAUUUGAUUUUUGAUUCAGUUCCGAGUCCAAACUGGACAGUAGCCACACCUACCUAAAGUGCUCACAAUUCGAUUAACCUAAUCGUAAGCAUAUAUUUUUUAACUGAAACUGGGGCCAUUUCAAUUUGGAAAAGAUCCAAACUGAAACCUUCUCAAUAGAAGGUAAUAAGGUUGCUAAAGUUGCCAGUUUGCCAAAAAAAAAAAAAGAAUAAAUUACAAAAAUGAAGCCAGAUGCAUUUUCUAGAAACCUCUGCUGCAUUAGAUGCCACAAAGAAAGGAAAGAAAACAAAAUGCACAUAUUCAAAAUUUCUCACUCAUUUGUAUCAAAGCAGCUGCUGAUACAUCACUCUUUCCAUUUAGCCAUGUAAAACACCAGUCACAACGAGGUCAUGAGGCAUUCUGUUGACUGGAUUCAACUCUCAAGCACUUUCAGAGGGAAGAGUACUCUGAAUGUUCGAAGGCAUCAAUAUGUUGAAACCAUCACUGGCAGUAGAUACGAGCAUACCAGGAAUCUGACCAUGCCAAUGAAGUUCUUUCAAAUCUUUUUGCCCCUGAUGAACAAACAGAAGCUGAGGGGGUAUAUCAGCUGGAGCAUUCACUUGCUCAUUUAUUUUAGCUCUAAACUCUGCUUCCUCUUCCUCAUCCUUCUCUAAAGAAAGGUCCCAUAUU
rnacentral:misc_RNA from 1 species